GUUAAAAAGCUCGUAGUUGGAUUUCGGAGUGAGCUAGUUGGUCCGCCGCAAGGUGUGUUACUGACUAGUUUGCUCUUCUUCGCAAAGACUGCGUGUGCUCUUGAGUGAGUGUGCGUAGGAUUUACGACGUUUACUUUGAAAAAAUUAGAGUGUUCAAAGCAGGCUAUUGCUUGAAUACAUGAGCUUGGAAUAAUGGAAUAGGACUUUGGUCCCAUUUUGUUGGUUUCUAGGACCGAAGUAAUGAUUAAGAGGGACAAUUGGGGGCAUCCGUAUUUCGUUGUCAGAGGUGAAAUUCUUGGAUUUAUGAAAGACGAACUUCUGCGAAAGCAUUUGCCAAGGAUGUUUUCAUUAAUCAAGAACGAAAGUUGGGGGCUCCGAAGACGAUCAGAUACCGUCCUGGUCUCAACCAUAAACGAUGCCGACUAGGGAUUGGCGGAUGUUAAAUCGAUGACUUCGCCAGCACCUUCUGAGAAAUCAAAGUUUUUGGGUUCCGGGGGGAGUAUGG
rnacentral:rRNA from 1 species